CCUACGGGCGGCAGCAGUGAGGAAUAUUGGUCAAUGGACGAGAGUCUGAACCAGCCAAGUAGCGUGAAGGAUGACUGCCCUAUGGGUUGUAAACUUCUUUUAUAUGGGAAUAAAACGUUCCACGUGUGGGAUUUUGUAUGUACCAUAUGAAUAAGGAUCGGCUAACUCCGUGCCAGCAGCCGCGGUAAUACGGAGGAUCCGAGCGUUAUCCGGAUUUAUUGGGUUUAAAGGGAGCGUAGGUGGGUUGUUAAGUCAGUUGUGAAAGUUUGCGGCUCAACCGUAAAAUUGCAGUUGAAACUGGCAGUCUUGAGUACAGUUGAGGUAGGCGGAAUUCGUGGUGUAGCGGUGAAAUGCUUAGAUAUCACGAAGAACUCCGAUUGCGAAGGCAGUUCACUGGACUGCAACUGACACUGAGGCUCGAAAGUGUGGGUAUCAAACAGGAUUAGAUACCCGAGUAGUC
rnacentral:rRNA from 1 species